GCCCAGAUGGUGAAAUUGGCAGACACGCUGGUUUCAGGUACCAGUGCCUUUGCGGGCUUGGGGGUUCAAGUCCCCCUCUGGGCA
rnacentral:tRNA from 1 species